GUUUAAAAAUCAUGAUUCAGCCAUACAUAUGUCCCAUAAAUUCGUUUGAAAGAUGGACGCAAAACAGCCGAUGGCCUGCAAGUACUCCACAGAAGUGGUAAACAAAAACUUUCGAAUUUCAUAUUAUUUAUGUACUUAUUUCUUAUAUUACAAAAUAAGAUAAAUUAAUAAAAUAAAAAAGAAUUAAAUAUA